CGGAAGUCCGUUUGGACGAGCCGCUCGCUAACCCGGUCAGGUCGGGAACGAAGCAGCCGUACCGAAUCCGGCUUGGGUCAGACGGGCUUCCACCG
rnacentral:SRP_RNA from 1 species